rnacentral:rRNA from 1 species
UUAGAGUUUGAUCCUGGCUCAGGACGAUUGCUGGCGGCACGCUUAACACAUGCAAGUCGAACGAGAGAAGAGAAGCUUGCUUUUCUGAUCUAGUGGCGGACGGGUGAGUAACACGUGAGCAAUCUGCCUUUCAGAGGGGGAUACCGAUUGGAAACGAUCGUUAAUACCGCAUAACAUAAUUGAACCGCAUGAUUUGAUUAUCAAAGAUUUAUCGCUGAAAGAUGAGCUCGCGUCUGAUUAGCUAGUUGGUAAGGUAACGGCUUACCAAGGCGACGAUCAGUAGCCGGACUGAGAGGUUGAUCGGCCACAUUGGGACUGAGACACGGCCCAGACUCCUACGGGAGGCAGCAGUGGGGAAUAUUGCACAAUGGAGGAAACUCUGAUGCAGCGAUGCCGCGUGAGGGAAGAAGGUUUUAGGAUUGUAAACCUCUGUCUUUGGGGACGAAAAAUGACGGUACCCAAGGAGGAAGCUCCGGCUAACUACGUGCCAGCAGCCGCGGUAAUACGUAGGGAGCGAGCGUUGUCCGGAAUUACUGGGUGUAAAGGGAGCGUAGGCGGGAUCGCAAGUCAGAUGUGAAAACUAUGGGCUUAACCCAUAAACUGCAUUUGAAACUGUGGUUCUUGAGUGAAGUAGAGGUAAGCGGAAUUCCUAGUGUAGCGGUGAAAUGCGUAGAUAUUAGGAGGAACAUCAGUGGCGAAGGCGGCUUACUGGGCUUUAACUGACGCUGAGGCUCGAAAGCGUGGGGAGCAAACAGGAUUAGAUACCCUGGUAGUCCACGCCGUAAACGAUGAUUACUAGGUGUGGGGGGACUGACCCCUUCCGUGCCGCAGCAAACGCAAUAAGUAAUCCACCUGGGGAGUACGACCGCAAGGUUGAAACUCAAAGGAAUUGACGGGGGCCCGCACAAGCAGUGGAGUAUGUGGAUUAAUUCGAAGCAACGCGAAGAACCUUACCAGGUCUUGACAUCGUAUGCAUAGCUCAGAGAUGAGUGAAAUCUCUUCGGAGACAUAUAGACAGGUGGUGCAUGGUUGUCGUCAGCUCGUGUCGUGAGAUGUUGGGUUAAGUCCCGCAACGAGCGCAACCCUUACUGUUAGUUGCUACGCAAGAGCACUCUAGCAGGACUGCCGUUGACAAAACGGAGGAAGGUGGGGAUGACGUCAAAUCAUCAUGCCCCUUAUGACCUGGGCCUCACACGUACUACAAUGGCUGUCAACAGAGGGAUGCAAAGCCGCGAGGUGGAGCGAACCCCUAAAAGCAGUCUUAGUUCGGAUUGUAGGCUGCAACCCGCCUACAUGAAGUCGGAAUUGCUAGUAAUCGCAGAUCAGCAUGCUGCGGUGAAUACGUUCCCGGGCCUUGUACACACCGCCCGUCA